CGCGUAGACGGUUUUGUAAGUCAGAUGUGAAAUCCCUGGGCUCAACCUGGGAACUGCAUUUGAAACUGCAUGGCUAGAGUAUGGAAGAGGGAAGUGGAAUUUCCGGUGUAGCGGUGAAAUGCGUAGAUAUCGGAAGGAACACCAGUGGCGAAAGCGACUUCCUGGUCCAAUACUGACGUUCAUGUGCGAAAGCGUGGGGAGCAAACAGGAUUAGAUACCCUGGUAGUCCACGCCAUAAACGCUGACAACUAGAUGUUGGGAGGGUCUGCCUCUCGGUGUCGCAGCUAACGCGUUAAGUUGUCCGCCUGGGGAGUACGGCCGCAAGGUUGAA
rnacentral:rRNA from 1 species